rnacentral:rRNA from 1 species
GACUGUACAAAGGUAGCAUAAUCAUUUGUCAUUUAAUUAUUGACUAGUAUGAAUGGCUGGAUGAAAGAUAUACUUUUUUAAUCUUAAUAUUUUGAAUUUAAUUUUUAUGUCAAAAAGCAUGGGUUUUUCUAUGGGACGAGAAGACCCUUUAGAGCUUUACAUUUUAUAGAUAAUUUAUUUUAUAGAUUAUGAUUUUUUUGUUGUUUUUUGGUGUUUUGUUGGGGCGAUGAUAAAAACUGGUUAACUUUUAUUUUUAAAUUUAUUUAUAGAUAAUUUGACCCACAAUAUUAGUGUGAUUAUAAGAUUAAGCUACCUAAGGGAUAACAGCGUUAUUAAUUUGGAGAGUUCUUAUCAAUAGAUUAGUUUGCGACCUCGAUGUUGGAUUAAAUUAAGCUAUAGGGGCAGUAUUUUAUUAGACUAGGUCUGUUCGACCUAUAAUUUUUUACA